GUUCGGUGCUCAGAUUGAACGCUGGCAGGAUGCUUUACGCAUCCACACAAGUCGAACAGCGGCACGGACUUCGGUCUGGUGGCGAGUGGCGAACGGGUGAGUAAUGUAUCAAGACGAUACCUAGUAAUACGAAUGUACCAGAAAGCGUAGCUAAUACCACCUACGCCAGCAGGGAAAGCGGGGACCUUCGAACCUCUCCACGCUAUUAAACAGCCGAUAUCGGAUUAGCUAGUUGGUGGGGGUAACGGCUCGCAAGGCGACGAUCCGUAGCUGGUUGAAGGACGACCAGCCACACUGGACUGAGACACGGCCCAGACUCACUACGGGAAGCAGCAGUGGGGAAUUUGGACAAUAGGAAACCUGAUCCAGCCAUCCCGCGUGCGAUGAAGGCCUUCGGGUUGUAAAGCACUUUUGGCAGGAAAGAAACAGCACAGGAUAAUACCCCAUUAAACUGACGAAACACCUGCAGAAUAAGCACCGGCUUCAACUACGAUACCAGCAACCGCGGUAAUACGUAGGUGCAAGCGUUAAUCAGGUGCUGGGCGUAAAGCGUGCGCGGUUCCGGAAAAGAAAGAUGUGAAAUCCCAGAGCUUAACUUUGGAACUGCAUUUUAACUACCGAGCUAGAGUGUGUCAGAGGAGAUUGGAAUUCCGCGUGUAACGUCGCGAUGCAUGCCGAAUAUGCGGAGGAACACCGAUAAGCGAAGGCGGCCUCCUGGGGAUAACACUGACGCUCAUGCACGAAAACGUGAGGGAGCAAACAGGAUUAGAUACCCUGGUAGUCCACGCCUAAACGAUGUCAUUCGCUGUUGGGGCCUUCGGGCCUUGGUAGCGCAGCUAACGCAUGAAGUUGACCGCCUGGGAGAUACGGUCGCAAGAUUAAAACUCAAAGGAAUUGACGGGGACCCACACAAGCAGUGGAUGAUGUGGAAUAAUUCGAUGCAACGCGAAAAACCUUACCUACCCUUGACAUGUCUGGAAUCCCGAAGAGAUUUAGGAGUGCUCGCAAGAGAACCGGAACACAGGUGCUGCAUGGCUGUCGUCAGCUCUGUCGUGAGAUGUUGGGUUAAGUCCCGCAACAGGCGCAACCCUUGUCGUGGAUUGCUACGAAAGGGCACUCUAAUGAGACUGCCGGUAACAAACCAGGAGGAGGUGGGGAUGACAAUCAAGUCUCAUGGCCCUUAUGGGUAGGGCUGCACGUCAUACAAUGGUCAGGACAGAGGUCGCCAACCCGCGAGCAAUCUGAAACCCGAUCGUAGUCGGAUCACCAGUCUACCAACUCGACUGCGUGAAGUCCGAAUCAUGGUAAUCGCGGAUCAGCAUGUCGCGGUGAAUACGUUCCCGGGUCUUGUACACACCGCCCGUCACACCAUGGGAGUGGGUUUUACCAAAGUAGUUAGCCUAACCGUAAGGAGGGCGAUUACCACGGUAAGGAUUCAUGACUGAGGUGAAGUCGUAACAAGGUAA
rnacentral:rRNA from 1 species